rnacentral:lncRNA from 1 species
GAUGGUCUAGGAGUUGCUGAACCUGAGCCGCGGAAACCCCCGCAAGAGGUGAGCCAUCAGUGGGAGUAGGAGGCUGCUGCGUUCCUUGAACAGCAGACCCUCCUGUCUUGUUUGCGCGAGCAGGAGGUGGUCGCAGUCCACGACCUGCUGUACCUACCGCACGGCCCCCUCCGCGAGCUGAAGACGUGCUACCACGACCAUUACCACGGCCUCCUCGAGGCCUAUCACCCCACCAAUCCGGGUAUCCAUGAAGCUGAAAGCAAGAGGCUUCGACAUGCCCCUCACGAUUGCAAUAGGAACAAAGUUUAUCCGAAUUAUCAGGUCGAUUAAACUUNNN